UCCUGCAUGAACUUGAAAGACCCCCGAAGGGAGACCCUCACUCAAGCCUCGGGACAGCCGCGGACCCAAGAAGACACUGAGACCG
rnacentral:pre_miRNA from 7 species